AGAGGUCACACCCGUUCCCAUGCCGAACACGGAAGUUAAGCUCUUCAGCGCCGAUGGUAGUUGGGGGCUUCCCCCUGCGAGAGUAGGACGCCGCCAAGC
rnacentral:rRNA from 2 species